rnacentral:rRNA from 1 species
AGUGAACGCUGGCGGUAGGCCUAACACAUGCCAGUCGAACGGCAGCACAGUAAGAGCUUGCUCUUACGGGUGGCGAGUGGCGGACGGGUGAGGAAUACAUCGGAAUCUACUUUUUCGUGGGGGAUAACGUAGGGAAACUUACGCUAAUACCGCAUACGACCUACUGGUGAAAGCAGGGGAUCUUCGGACCUUGCGCGAUUGAAUGAGCCGAUGUCGGAUUAGCUAGUUGGCGGGGUAAAGGCCCACCAAGGCGACGAUCCGUAGCUGGUCUGAGAGGAUGAUCAGCCACACUGGAACUGAGACACGGUCCCGACUCCUACGGGAGGCAGCAGUGGGGAAUAUUGGACAAUGGGCGCAAGCCUGAUCCAGCCAUACCGCGUGGGUGAAGAAGGCCUUCUGGUUGUAAAGCCCUUUUGUUGGGAAAGAAAAGCAGCAGGUUAAUACCCCGCUGUUCUGACGGUACCCAAAGAAUAAGCACCGGCUAACUUCGUG